rnacentral:tRNA from 1 species
GCGCCCGUAGCUCAGUCCGGAUAGAGCGCCGGACUACGAAUCCGUAGGUCGCGUGUUCGAAUCACGCCGGGCGCACCA